GCUUACGGCCAUACCACCCUGAGAACUCCCGAUCUCGUCUGAUCUCGGAAGCUAAGCAGGGUCGGGCCUGUUUAGUACUUGGAUGGGAGACCGCCUGGGAAUACCAGGUGCUGUAAGCU
ensembl:rRNA 5S_rRNA 5S ribosomal RNA